AUUUUUAGCUGCGAUUUAGUUUAGACUUUAUGAAGCGUCACACCUAAUAGAAAAAUGUCAAAUGUCGCUCAUUCGAAAUUGAAAACUCCAGUAAUUAAGAUGUUUUGUUAAGUUAGUUAGUGUCAGUUGCUUUUAGCUAGCAAACUCAAUAACAAUACAAUUAAGAUUGUCAAUCCAAUGUUUUCACUGCAGUUGCCAAAACUGCAAAUUGACAUCUGCAAAGGUGGCACUUUAAUGCCAGGUGAAAAGCCUGUCAAGUUGCCAAUUAAAAUGUGAAAUGGACGAUGGAUAUAUUCGAGUCAGUUUAUUCUACUGCAAUUUAAAACAAUAUUUUUAUGGAAUUUCUUAGCGGAAGCAAUGAAUUUGAUGCGUGAGAUGAGCAAUUCCUGAUUGCAUAUCCCGACGUAUCAAGUUUGUAUAAUUAAGCGGCUUAGCUAUUGUGAUGUGGUCUUAAUCCACGACAAGCACAGCAGCAGCAGCAGCAGCAAUUCAUUUAAUGCGCCCUCCCACAUGCUGACACACGUAAAAUGCAAUCCGUUGAAAAUACAAGUACAUAUUACAAAAAAAAAAAUAGGAAAAUGGAGCACACGCAGAUGAUAGAAAGAUAUGAGACAGCAAAAAAAAAAAAUAGGAGACAUCGUCAUGAAGAGGAUAUGGAAUUUGAUGCCUGGCUGUGACUCUGUCUCUGGUGUUUGCUUAAGGAUUUUACUGAGGAGAAACUCUGGCUUACUUUGCAUAGGUAGAACACACACACAAACGCAGAGUAAAAUCAACAACGAAGUGCACAUCAAAUAAGUGAGGUAGAUACAACAAAAGCUGGAAAAAGAGGGAACCAAACAUGGAACGAGAACGAGAACAAGACACAAGUGAUGCUCGACAGGGACACAUACAUCCAUCAAUUAAUGUUGGCCAUCAAAUUGAAACAAAUUGCAAGGGAACUCUUGGCAACGACAACCUGACAACCCAACAACCCGACAAGCAAAAACCCGACCCGUUUAUUGAAAAAUAAACAGAGAAAAGCCAAGAGAGAAGAAGAGCGGAGAGUGACAGGCAACAAGAGAACAGGCAUUUUACCAUACUCUAUAUCAAAUUUAUGGCAUUUUAAUUCUAUUUUUGCUCAAAAGCCUUUGAAGGUACUUAUUAUUUAACAAAUUAUGCAUGCAAUUCUUAAGUAUUUAACAUGACAUAAAUUCUUUGAAGUCUCUCAUGAAAAUAAUUGAUAAAAUGCCAAAUGCUAAAAUAUUAAUUGUUUCUUGCUGGAA